rnacentral:rRNA from 1 species
UACGUAGGGGGCAAGCGUUGUCCGGAAUUAUUGGGCGUAAAGCGCGCGCAGGCGGUUGAUUAAGUUUGGUGUAUAAUUCCGGGGCUCAACCCCGGGUCGCACUGAAAACUGGUCAACUUGAGUGCAGGAGAGGAAAGUGGAAUUCCACGUGUAGCGGUGAAAUGCGUAGAGAUGUGGAGGAACACCAGUGGCGAAGGCGACUUUCUGGACCGUAACUGACGCUGAGGCGCGAAAGCGUGGGGAGCAAACAGG